rnacentral:rRNA from 1 species
UUUAAUUGAAUGCUAAGAGAAUGGAAGUCCAGAAAAAAACUUUUUUUAAAUUAAAAAUUGAAGUUUUUUUAAUUUGUGCAGAAACAAUUAUUUAUAUUAAAGACAAGAAGACCCUAUGAAUUUAUUAAAUUUUUAUUUAAUAUGUAAUUACUAUUAGAAAAAUUUUGGCUGGGGCGGCUAGAAAAUAUUAUGAACUUUUUAAAAAUAAAAUGAUCCAUUAUUAAUGAUUUUAUGUUAAAUACUCUAGGGAUAACAGCGUUAUAUUUUUUGAUAGAUCAUAUUGACAAAAAAGUUUGCGACCUCGAUGUUGGAUUAGGAUACUUUUUUAAUGAAGAUAUUAAAAAAAGAAGUUUGUUCAACUUUUAAUUUCCUACUUGAUC